UAAGAUUGAAACAUGCAAUUUAUCCACAUUUAAACUUUAUUCAACACAGAUACUGUCUAUGAUUAUAUAUGGAAAAUAUUUAUAGAUUAUAUAUUCAGCUUGGAUCUCGUGUCAAUUAAAGGGGGACAUUGGUCACUCUUCCAGAACCUUUACUCAUGUCUGCUGCUCGUAUUCAUCGUUUGCGGACCUUGUUGUUAGAUUCUAACUAGGGUUCCCAACCCCGGACCCCCGACCGCCUGGAUCCGCAACUGCCUAAGCGAUUACAAAUACAUGUAUUAAGUAACGUGAAUGUAUUCAUAUUAAUUUAUUUAAUCGAUGAUUUGUACAUAUAAGAAUUGAAUAAUAACUCAUACAGAAUAAAUGCAAGUUAUGAUAAAAAAUUUAACAAGAAAGGCUUCACCGCAUACUUCAUGUUAAAUGUGUGUAUAUAAGUAUUCUUACCUCUACUAAGGCAAUAGGAAAACAAACUCAUGGACCAUUCAAGUACACCGUAACUUUUCAAUUGAUUCUUUUUGACUUGAAUUCCAAGCCAUGAGAUUUGUUUGAUUAUUGGUGAAAUAAGACGCAAACUGGGUGUAAGAAACUAUUGUUUUGAUUUUCUGUGUCAAACGUUUAUAAAUAUAAAAAAGAAGAUUUGGUGUAAUUGCCAAUGAGACAACUCUAAACAAGAGAACAAAUUAAAUGACACAGAAAUGAACAACUAUAGGUCACCGUACGGCCUUCAACAAUGAGCAAAGCCCAUACCGCAUAGUCAGCUAUAAAAGGCCUAGAAAUAACUUUUGUUGCAUGGUUG
rnacentral:lncRNA from 1 species